rnacentral:rRNA from 1 species
CGUAGGUGGCAAGCGUUGUCCGGAAUCAUUGGGCGUAAAGCGCGCGCAGGCGGUCCUUUAAGUCUGAUGUGAAUCUUGCGGCUCAACCGUAAGCGGUCAUUGGAAACUGGGGACUUGAGUGCAGGAGAGGAAGCGGAAUUCCAUGUGUAGCGGUGAAAUGCGUAGAGAUAUGGAGGAACACCAGUGGCGAAGGCGGCUUUCUGGCCUGUAACUGACGCUGAGGCGCGAAAGCGUGGGAGCAAACAGGAUU